rnacentral:rRNA from 1 species
GACGAACGCUGGCGGCGUGCUUAACACAUGCAAGUCGAACGGAAAGGCCCUGCUUUUGUGGGGUGCUCGAGUGGCGAACGGGUGAGUAACACGUGAGUAACCUGCCCUUGACUUUGGGAUAACUUCAGGAAGCUGGGGCUAAUACCGGAUAGGAGCUCCUGCUGCAUGGUGGGGGUUGGAAAGUUUCGGCGGUUGGGGAUGGACUCGCGGCUUAUCAGCUUGUUGGUGGGGUAGUGGCUUACCAAGGCUUUGAUGGGUAGCCGGCCUGAGAGGGUGACCGGCCACAUUGGGACUGAGAUACGGCCCAGACUCCUACGGGAGGCAGCAGUGGGGAAUAUUGCACAAUGGGCGGAAGCCUGAUGCAGCAACGCCGCGUGCGGGAUGACGGCCUUCGGGUUGUAAACCGCUUUCGCCUGUGACGAAGCGUGAGUGACGGUAAUGGGUAAAGAAGCACCGGCUAACUACGUG